GACGAACGCUGGCGGCGUGCUUAACACAUGCCAGUCGUACGGUAAGGCCCUUUCGGGGGUACACGAGUGGCGAACGGGUGGGUAACACGUGAGUAACCUGCCCACAACUUUGGGAUAACGCUAGGAAACUGGUGCUAAUACUGGAUAUGUGCUCCUGCUGCAUGCUGGGUGUUGGAAAGCUCCGGGCGUUGUGGAUGGACUCGCGGCCGAUCAGGUUGUUGGUGGGGUAGUGGGCUACCAAGGCGGCCACGGGUAGCCGGCCUGGGAGGGUGAACGGCCAACUUGGGACUGGGAUACGGGCCAGACUCCUACGGGAGGCAGGAGUGGGGAAUAUUGCACAAUGGGGGCAAGCCUGAUGCAGGAACGCCGCGUGCGGGAUGACGGGCUUCGGGUUGUAAACCGCUUUCAGCAGGGAAGAAGCUUUUUGUGACGGUACCUGCAGAAGAAGCACCGGCUAACUACGUG
rnacentral:rRNA from 1 species